ACAGGUGGGAGAGGAGGGUAUUGUGGAAGCUCCAGGUGCCAACUGCCUGCCUCUAUCCCCCACUCUCCCCAG
ensembl:miRNA